GAAUGAUGAAAAUUCAGUAUUUUUUAAUGUGUACAUUUUCCUUUCUUGGAUUAAUUAUUGCGUAUUCUCAUACAGAUUUCCCUAAAUUUCAAGGUAAGCGUUUCCCCGUAUUUAAUAUUAUCGGAUGUAUCAUACAUAAGAAUUAAGAGUGCUUGAUGUCCUGAUAUUCUACGUUUCUCUGCUUAUUUCUUAUUUUUAAAUUUUAUAAAAAAGAUGUGGUAUGAUUGCCAAUAAUUAGACAACUCUUCACAAGAGACCAGAGAGUAGAAAAUAGACGGGUACGGACCAUACUUUAACUCUUCCAAAUUUUAGAAAUCAGGUGUCAUGGCGACAGAAUUAAAAAAAAAUGACAAUAAAGCGGAGAUCAAUAAAAUAGGAAGUGACAAAAUUAAAUACGUUAUAGUUCACUUUGGCCUUAAAUGACAACCAAUCAAUGCAAUAACAAAAUUUACAAAAUAAACCGAUGAUGAACAUUACUAUGGUAGUCAAACGAAAAACAAAAACAACUGGUGUUAACGUAAAAGUCUGUGUAAGGAUUUUGUCUCAUAGACUACUACAUGCUAUGGCGAAUAGGAAAAAUACAAAACAACGGAAUUUCCCAAAUAAAAAGACAGACACCACAAUGACCAUAUGUACUUAAAAAAGAAAACGAAAUGUUGAAAAAAAGUAAGAUGAAUAGACCAAAAGUUCAUAAACACUACACAGAAAACGAAAUUCUGAGUAACUUGCACCCUGAUACUAUGAACAACAUAACGCAACAAAAAUUGAAAUCAAAAGAUGGUCAGAUUUUGGUCUUUGUUAUAGAGUUAAAUGUCAGUCUCGUGACUGAAUGUCUUUUGUUUGAUCAGAUAAUUAAUUAGAAAAGUACAUAGAUCAUUUAAUCGGUAAACCUCUUAUCUUUUCAGAGGGAUUGAAAUCAAAGAAGUGGGACCCCAAAAAGGUAAUUGUAGUUAAAAUGGUGUACAACCUUGGAUCUUAGUUCAAACUAUCUUACGUUGGUAAAUGUAAGAAUGGGAUCCAAGACUAUAAAAAUUACGAGUAUAAUUUUUCUGGUUUAUCAAAAAUCCUUAUAUGAAUAUAUAAAGAAAUCUCAUAACUUCAUGUCAUAACAAUUUAACUAAAUAAUAUAGUAUACAGUAUUUUAAUAUACAUUGUUUUUCAAUACUAAUUUUAAAUAGUUUACUUUCUAUAUCAACUCCCUGUACCAACUGUACCAAGUCAGGAAUACGACAGUUGUUAUUCAUUCGUUCGAUGUGUUUGAGCUUUUUAUUUUGCCAUUUAAUGAGGGUUUUUCUGUUUUGAAUUUUCCUUGGAGUUCAGUAUUUUUGUGAUUUUGCUUUUUUGUAGAAUAAAAAUUUAGAAGAGGAUGUUUAUGACCCAAAAGAUUUGACCUACGAUCACCUGACUGCUUUUCAUACAGGUAACAUUGUUUUUUAUAAAGGUAAAAUCGUUUUUCAUACAGGUAAAAUCGUUUUUCAUACAGGUAAAAUCGUUUUUCAUUCAUGUUUAAUCGUUUUUCAUACAGGCAAAAUCGUUUUUCAUACAGGUAAAAUCGUUUUUCAUACAUGUUAAACCGUAGAAAAAUAAUCGUUUGUUUCUUCGAGAUGAAAUAACACAAAGAAAUGAUUUUCAAUGUAAUGGAUAUUCCACGAUAACAUACAUUUUAUAAACACACAAAGAAUUAUUGUAACCGUAACGGAUGACGCAAAGCAAUAUCUAGUUUCAAACUUUUAAGAAAUUAACAAUUAAAAAAUGUAAAGGAACUCCUUUUUCAUGGUCUUUUUUUUAUACCUGUGUAGAUGCAGUAUUUGUGCAUGAAAUGGAAAUGAUAAUAAAGAAUCAAGGUACGUUCCAAUAUUGCAUAAUAUAAGUAAAGAUCAGCAAAUACAACCACAAAUUAAUAUCAACAAUAUUAAACAAAAAAUCAUUAUUCUCUUCAUAUUUGUAUAUAAAAUAAGGAGAUGUGUAAUGAUUGAUAAUGGAACAACUAUCUAACAAGACAACUACAUUUGACCCUUCAAUAAUAAUAAAUACUCAUACCGUAUAGUCAGCUAUAAAUGUGAAAUGAUCCAAACAAACAAAACAAACUAAACAAUUAAGGAAAACCUAACAAAACAGACAACAACGGACAACCACUGAAAUACAGGUUCUUGACUUGAAAACAUCACUUAUAGAAUCUUGUGGGUAAAAAUGUCUGCGAACCUCCACGCUUCUAACAUGGACAGUAGAAUAGCAGCACAACAUAAUAACAACAAAAAAAGUGUUGGAAAAAGGUUUACUUAACAGAUCGACUCGAAAUACCAAAGCACAGAUCAUGAGCAGUUUACUGAAAGCUAGCUCAAAACAGUUAAAACUGAAUAAAUGAACAAUGUUAUCCCUGACUUACGUAUCAAUCAGUAUACACACAACGGAUUUAGUGUAGAGAAACCAUAACUAGUCCAAAAGCAUGAACUUGUUAAAUACUAAAACAUAGUAUACUGUCUUUGUUUAGAACUAGAAAUGCUAAUUGUAUUGCAUGUAAUGCAAAACUUGUCGAGAAUUUCGUAUCAGUAUUGCUAGUAAAUAUAAUUUUGAAAUAAAAAAUAAAAUCUGCACAUAUUUUCUUCAUACUGCUGCAUACUAUUUUUAAAAUCAACAUAAGAAAAUCGUAUAUGGCCUAUGAACGGAGUUAACUCUAUGUGCAUCAACACGCUAAACAUCUCCUGCUGUUUGGGAAUCUCACGUCACUCAGUUUCAAAGUCAUAUUAAAAAGAAAUAGUUGUGGUUAAGAACUUGACAAGCACAUUAAUAUAAUCAGAUGGAAAAUAGUAAAACAAGGUUUUUUGUCGCAUAAAGUUAAUAAACCGUAUAGCAAAUUGCAUUCACUGAUGCGGUUUGACGGUGAAACUAGACAACGUAUCUAACAUUGAGCUAUUUCAAUUUCUUAAAUUAUAUCUUUUCAAGCUAUGGAAUUAUUCUUAACCUUUUAACAAUGUUUAAUAUUCUGCACUCAUUUUAUGUUAACACGGAUAUAAGUGUAUUUAAUUCUUUAUAUAUAGGAAAAGGCAACGGAAGAACUAACGAAAAAUCGGGAACGAUAGAUAAAAUGAAAGAAGAAGAUCAAAGGAAAACAAAACAGUCAGAAAAAGAAAUUUCACAAAAGUAACUAAGAGGACUACUGUUUUAUUUGGAAGGGGUUAACGCACGAGUAUGCCUAUUCAUUAGUGACGUGGUUAUAAUAUCUCCA
rnacentral:lncRNA from 1 species